GAUGAACGCUGGCGGCGUGCCUAAUACAUGCAAGUCGAGCGAACGGACGAGAAGCUUGCUUCUCUGACGUUAGCGGCGGACGGGUGAGUAACACGUGGAUAACCUACCUAUAAGACUGGGAUAACUUCGGGAAACCGGAGCUAAUACCGGAUGAUAUUUUGAACCGCAUGGUUCAAAAGUGAAAGACGGUUUUGCUGUCACUUAUAGAUGGAUCCGCGCUGCAUUAGCUAGUUGGUAAGGUAACGGCUUACCAAGGCAACGAUGCAUAGCCGACCUGAGAGGGUGAUCGGCCACACUGGAACUGAGACACGGUCCAGACUCCUACGGGAGGCAGCAGUAGGGAAUCUUCCGCAAUGGGCGAAAGCCUGACGGAGCAACGCCGCGUGAGUGAUGAAGGUCUUCGGAUCGUAAAACUCUGUUAUUAGGGAAGAACAUAUGUGUAAGUAACUGUGCACAUCUUGACGGUACCUAAUCAGAAAGCCACGGCUAACUACGUG
rnacentral:rRNA from 1 species